rnacentral:lncRNA from 1 species
CAACAAGCCUGCACAACAACAUGCUCGCGCACACCGCAACCAUAGAGAUAUACCGCGACACAUACCAGGUCAGUGACUGACAUAUCAUCUAUUUCACCUUUCAUAUGCAUCCUCUUCUUCCUCGUCCCCCUUUUCAGGGCGAUCAGAAGGGCAAGAUCGGCAUUUUUAUAUUUUCCAUUACAGUUGGUCAUAAAAUUUUUACUUUGUUUUGCCAGGAGAGUUGUGCUUCAUGUAGCUAUUACAGCAGGAUAAUUGUAUGCUUGCGUUGAAGAAGAGGUUAUACCAACCGAGGCCAAGUGCACUGAACUUACCCAUGCCUCGUAUGGAUGGCUAUUCUAAAUUGGAUAACCUUGUUUCUAGAUUUCUCUUCAUUUCCUGAUUUUGUUAAUUUUCAACUAUUUCACAUUGCCAUGCAGGUUUGGGGCUCAAAUGUGGAGACCUCUCCUCUAGGGGACAACAUCACAAUGUAUUUUCAUAGAAUACUUAUGUAGGUCUUCUCCUCUCGG